CAGAAGCUCCUUAGCAGAGGGGGAGCAGGACUGGGCAGGCAGGCUCCUUCCCGCUGUCUUUAUCAUGACUGAAGAAGUAAGACCGACAUCAGAGUAGCACAUGCAACCGACACCGAAGAUGCUACAGAGUGCGUGGGAGGGGUGGUCCUGUGUGAGCCUCGCCUAGCAACUGCAAAAAGCCUUCCUUCCCAGCACCAGCAACCAUUGCAGUUGGAGACAGAUCAUGCCACUCAAAGGACAUUCAAGCAGAUGCAUGGUGUGAGAAGGCUGCUUUGCUCCUGGCAUGAGCUCUAUCUGCUAGCAGAAGAAUAACAUUCCUGAAAUUGGACAAAAUCUUCAGAUCAACUUCUGCUCUAAGGACAAAGCAGAGA
rnacentral:lncRNA from 1 species